GGAAGUUUUCAGAGAUGAGAAUGUGCCUUCGGGAACCGUGAGACAGGUGCUGCAUGGCUGUCGUCAGCUCGUGUUGUGAAAUGUUGGGUUAAGUCCCGCAACGAGCGCAACCCUUAUCCUUUGUUGCCAGCGGUCCGGCCGGGAACUCAAAGGAGACUGCCAGUGAUAAACUGGAGGAAGGUGGGGAUGACGUCAAGUCAUCAUGGCCCUUACGACCAGGGCUACACACGUGCUACAAUGGCGCAUACAAAGAGAAGCGACCUCGCGAGAGCAAGCGGACCUCAUAAAGUGCGUCGUAGUCCGGAUUGGAGUCUGCAACUCGACUCCAUGAAGUCGGAAUCGCUAGUAAUCGUGGAUCAGAAUGCCACGGUGAAUACGUUCCCGGGCCUUGUACACACCGCCCGUCACACCAUGGGAGUGGGUUGCAAAAGAAGUAGGUAGCUUAACCUUCGGGAGGGCGCUUACCACUUUGUGAUUCAUGACUGGGGUGAAGUCGUAACAAGGUAACCGUAGGGGAACCUGC
rnacentral:rRNA from 1 species